rnacentral:rRNA from 1 species
UAAUUGAAGAGUUUGAUCAUGGCUCAGAUUGAACGCUGGCGGCAGGCCUAACACAUGCAAGUCGAGCGGUAACAGGGGAAGCUUGCUUCYCGCUGACGAGCGGCGGACGGGUGAGUAAUGUAUGGGGAUCUGCCCGAUAGAGGGGGAUAACUACUGGAAACGGUAGCUAAUACCGCAUAAUCUCUCAGGAGCAAA